UUCCUUCUUCUUCCCCUGAUCCCUAACGCCCUCCCCCUUCUCCUGAUUCUUUUCUCUUCCCCCAUCCCUGCCGCACUCCUUUUCCCCUCCUCGCGCCACCACUCGAAGCGAAAAUUGGCACCAGCCGAUCGUCGACCACGUUUCCCUUAUCUUCAUCUCGUCGCCGACACAAACAACUUGCGAAGCAUCCAGAUUCCUUCUUCAUUCACCCAACCACAGCCUCUUCCCCCUUACUCUUCUCUCCGCAUCGCCAUCGACUGCCACUGCCUGACGCCAACUACCAGCCACCCGUGUGCCACUUGAUCUCCUCUCUCCUGGUCGCAGACACCAUGUGCUCGUCGGAAGCUAAGCAUCUAAUCCCAUGUCUUCAGCCGAGCCCUAGAUGUCGACCCCCUAUCGACCGAGCAUGCUAGAUCUCUACUAGAAUUUGUUAAUCGUGUCGAAUCUCUGCUCGACAUUGCAUCUCCGAUCUUAAGGAUGAUCUACUCGGGUCGACCUCUUCCUCCUCCACUCCACAUCGCUGCUUGAUUUCGUUGGAUCCCUACUUAGUGUCGUCGUAGGAUCGCAUCAAGUUUUGGUUAGCCGUUGCUGAUUGAUUAUGCCAGUGCCACAUUGUCGCCGUUCUCUUCUCUGCAUUGUCUUGACACCAUAGCAACCACCGCUAGUCUCAUGGCCCUGAUUUUAUGUCACCACUGAAGCUCCUACAUCCUCCAUUCCACCGGUGACACAAAUUACCGCCUAGCUACCAGAAGUGGGUUCUUCCACAUGAAUUGAAUCUAUUGGCACAUAUAUGGGGUGCUAGAUUUGGAGACUCUCUAAUAUUUUAGAUCUGGCCAUAUUUUUCUAGCAGCGGGUGCUCCAUCGGCGAGUUAACAGGGAAGUACACGGGUAUAGGACGUUGAUUCGAGAUGAGCAUCUCGAAGUGGGAUUUGUUCCGAUACGAACUACUGAUUAAGGAGACAUUAUGGAUUUGGUCUGACGACCCUGCACCUGUUUGUAUGGUUCACACAUUUAUGUUCAGAUAGGAGGUCCUGGUGAGUAUAGUUUCUUCUGUUGUUCAGUUUUACAUUACUUGUUAUUGAUCAGGAGACUGUACUGCAUGGUUAUUACUUGUAGUUAUAUUUUACUAUACAUAUCUGCUUGAUACCCACUGAGUAUGUUAUACUCACUACCCCUUAUUUUUCUUGUUGAUUUCAGGUUAGCACAUAGAUAUGUUGUGUCGCUUAGAGUAUCUUGUCUUCAAGUUCCACGUCACAUCCGAGGACUAUUUCCAAUUUUAUCUCUGCUUUACUUGUCUUACGUUUUUGGUGGAGUUGGUGUUGUAUAAAUUCGACUUUGUUUUUAGAGUUUGCUAUGUGGAGUUUGUAUUUGUUUUGU